rnacentral:rRNA from 1 species
UACGUAGGUGGCAAGCGUUAUCCGGAUUUAUUGGGCGUAAAGGGAACGCAGGCGGUCUUUUAAGUCUGAUGUGAAAGCCUUCGGCUUAACCGGAGUAGUGCAUUGGAAACUGGGAGACUUGAGUGCUGAAGAGGAGAGUGGAACUCCAUGUGUAGCGGUGAAAUGCGUAGAUAUAUGGAAGAACACCAGUGGCGAAAGCGGCCCUCUGGUCUGUAACUGACGCUGAGGUUCGAAAGCGUGGGUAGCAAACAGG